rnacentral:lncRNA from 1 species
UAUGCAGAAGAGAGUUUUGAUGUGGAAAACCUUACUGAAAACAUUAUCAACAUAACUCUUAAAGACAAUAGAUCCAGCCAAAGUUUCAAUACAAUUUCUCCAUGAUGAUCGAUGAAAAUUGAAGGAUUUUGUAAAAGGAAUAACAUGCAAGGUUUUGAGUUUCAUUGACAAAGUUUUUACUUCUGAGAAAGGCUUCACAACUUUGAAAAAAAAAUUCAUUCAUUUUGCAUAUCCUUGCACAUUUGAUAUUUUGCAGUAGACUAGUAGUGUAUUGGUGCUUUUUGAUUAAUCUCUUAUUUUCAAGUGUAGAUGUAGUACUUAAUGACAAAUGUGAUUUUAUGCUUUGAAUUAAUAUUUAUGUGGCAAUGUGGUAUGUGCAAAUUUAAGAAAAAUAAAAAUUU